CAGUGUUCUGUGAGUCUGACAGUAAUGGAAUCAGCAGUUAAGAGUCUAUCAAAUAAUUAACUAAUUGAACUUGAACUAUGUAACAAUGCGUUUUGAUGGUUCUUCUGAUAUAUAGGAAGAAACAGCCCUUGCAACCAGCUGCCAUGGAAGAAACACGAGGAAGCCAGAGGACGCUGCACAAGCCGCAACACUUCAUCUCCGUACUGCUCCUCUCCCUUUAAAAUGUUUCUAGUUUCUCUACAAGCACGAAGGGAACUCAAGAACAGGGGCUGGUGGUCGCCAAGGAAACGUGCCCGUCUUUGCUCAAGAGCCACCAGGAUCUGACCCAGCCAAGCAGUCAGACCGUAUUCUGGCAGGUUCUGCUGGAGGAUGGCGAGACCAUUAACU